GACGAACGCUGGCGGCGCGCUUAACACAUGCAAGUCGAACGUGAAACCGGAGCUUGCUCCGGUGGAAAGUGGCGAACGGAUGCGUAACACGUGAGCAACCUGCCCCGAAGACUGGGAUAACACCGGGAAACCGGUGCUAAUACCGGAUACCUUCUUCCGAUCGCAUGGUCGGAUGAAGAAAUGGAUUCCGCUUCGGGAUGGGCUCGCGGCCUAUCAGCUUGUUGGUGAGGUAACGGCCCACCAAGGCGACGACGGGUAGCUGGUCUGAGAGGACGAUCAGCCACACUGGAACUGAGACACGGUCCAGACUCCUACGGGAGGCAGCAGUGGGGAAUUUUGCGCAACGGGCGG
rnacentral:rRNA from 1 species